GCGUGCGGUUUAAUUGGAUUCAACGCCGGAAAACUCACCAAAGCCGACUGUUAGAUGAAGACCAGCGUAACGAGCUUGUCGGAUUUUCAGAGAGGUAGUGCAUGGCCGUCGUCAGUUCGUACCGUAAGGCGUUCUGUUAAGUCAGAUAACGAACGAGACCCCCAUCGUCAUUUGCUAAUCCGUUCUCAGGAACGGACGCACUAUGGCGAGACCGCUGGCGUGAAGUCAGAGGAAGGCGGGGGCAACGGUAGGUCAGUAUGCUCCGAAUGCUUUGGGCUACACGCGCGCUACAAAGGACGGGACAAUGGGCUGCAACACCGAGAGGUGACGCUAUCCCGAAACCCGUUCGUAGUUCGGAUCGUGGGCUGUAACUCGCCCUCGUGAAGCUGGAUUUCGUAGUAAUCGCGUCUCAAAAUGGCGCGGUGAAUAUGCCCCUGCUCCUUGCACACACCGCCCGUCAAACCAUCUUAGUUGGGGGUGGGUGAGGCUACCUUUAAUUGGGGUAUUCGAGCCUGCCUUCGACAAGGAGGGUUAAGUCGUAACAAGGUACCUGUAGGGGAACCUGCAGGUG
rnacentral:rRNA from 1 species